GACGAACGCUGGCGGCGUGCCUAAUACAUGCGAGUAGAACGCUGAAGCUUGGUGCUUGCACCGAGCGGAUGAGUUGCGAACGGGUGAGUAACGCGUAGGUAACCUGCCUGGUAGCGGGGGAUAACUAUUGGAAACGAUAGCUAAUACCGCAUAAGAGUAGAUGUUGCAUGACAUUUGCUUAAAAGGUGCAAUUGCAUCACUACCAGAUGGACCUGCGUUGUAUUAGCUAGUUGGUGAGGUAACGGCUCACCAAGGCAACGAUACAUAGCCGACCUGAGAGGGUGAUCGGCCACACUGGGACUGAGACACGGCCCAGACUCCUACGGGAGGCAGCAGUAGGGAAUCUUCGGCAAUGGACGGAAGUCUGACCGAGCAACGCCGCGUGAGUGAAGAAGGUUUUCGGAUCGUAAAGCUCUGUUGUAAGAGAAGAACGAGUGUGAGAGUGGAAAGUUCACACUGUGACGGUAUCUUACCAGAAAGGGACGGCUAACUACGUG
rnacentral:rRNA from 1 species